GAGACACUAGUAAAAGUUGUUACACUGCUUUGUCAGGGCAGAAUUGCGGGUGAAAAUCCCGCGUGUUUCA
rnacentral:tRNA from 1 species